rnacentral:lncRNA from 1 species
CUCAUCAAAUAAAUAAAAAAAUGAAAAUAAAAAAUAAAACAAAUUAAAUAAAAAAAAUUCAGUAAUUAAAACACCUGUUUUUAAGUGUAAUUUUCAUCCAUUAAACAAUUCAUCAUAUUUAUCAAUUCAUCAUCAUCUCCCAACAUCUUGAUCCAUAAAACACCCGGUGUUCUCACCCAUUAAACAAUUCAUCAUCUUGAUCAAUUCAUCAUCAUCUCCCAACAUCAUCAUCUACAUCAAUUCAUGUCUUCAUCCAUCAUCAUCAACAACCCCUACAAACCCAGACCUGGAACCUUGAAUUCAAACACACGUUUUAAGUGUAAUUUUCCGUCAAAUUUGACUCAUGAACUACCCUGCAACAAAAGAAAUCAAAGGCCAGAAACUCAUCAUUUGACUCAUGAACUACCCUACAACAGACAUGAUCAAAUUCAAGAAAAGUAAACACAUUUCAAACAAAAACCCAAACUUUUUGUGAGUUUGAUCUUUAUGAGAAAGAGAAUAAUAAAGAGAGGAAAAAAGAACCAGGGACAGAUGCAUGAUGAAUCAAAUCGAGACCUGCCUUGGUGCUGGGAAAGAGAAUGGCGGUGGUGCUCGG